rnacentral:sRNA from 1 species
GUUGAUGGCGGGAGGAGAGGGCGAAAAGCCUUCGGCAAGGUUCGAGCUGUGCAGCGCAAGGCGCAGCCGGCCCGAAGGAUGCGAGCCCAGUGAUGAACAAUCCUGCUCCAUCCCAAA